rnacentral:misc_RNA from 1 species
UUUAUUUUUUACUUUUUUUUUUUUUCAUUCAUUCGUGUGUAAUCUCUUGCUCUCUUCUUCUUGUCAGACACAAUUUGGCAUUUUGGCAAGCACCAAUUUUAUAUUUUAACACAAAAAAUAAUUGUGACGAGUGUGGAAUAACAUCAACAGUAUGCAAGAUUUUUACUGAGGACAUUGACAAUAAUCUCAUCGUCAUUUUGAAGUUGUAAAAAAUUUAUCUGGCAGAAAUAAAAAACAACAAGAAAAAUAUAAUAAUCAACAUAAUGGAGCUUGAUACUCCUGAAUUUACUUCAAAGGAUGAUGAGAUCCAAUAUUGGAUGGAAGUUGCCCAACAAAUGUAUCAAAGAAAAGAAGAGGUUGAACAUGAGCUGGAAGAGUUCCAAGAAAAUUCACAAAUGCUGGAAAAAGAAUUGGAAACAUCAUUAGAACAAUCAGAAAAAACAAAUCGUGAAUUACGUCAACGUAAUUCAAGACUUUCCACUGAAAUGGAACAAUUAAGAUCAAGAUUAAAUCAACAAACAUCUGAUUGUUCUGUAUUUCAAUCAAGAGCAACUGAAUUAGAAUCUCAACAUGAUCAACUUGUCAAGUAUAUACGUGAAUUAGAACAAAAAAAUGAUGAUCUUGAACGUGCACAAAGGAUAAAUACAGCAACUGAAGAGGCUAUUGAAGCAAAAUUUAAUUCAGCAAUUGAAAAAAAUGCAUUAUUAGAAUCAGAACUUGAUGAAAAAGAAAGUCUCAAAGUUAUUGUACAAAGAUUAAUGGAUGAAAACAGAGAUCUUAAACAAGAAAUAAAUAUAUUAAAACGAUAUGUACCAGAUAAUGACAAAUCAGCAGAUAAAGUACGAAGUCUUGUUGAUAGUAAUAAAUUACAAGUUGAAUUGGAAACAAAUGUUAAUUCAAUAAUAACACCAAUGACUAAUCAAAAUAUAACAAAUGGUCAACAACAACAACAAGUUAAAAUUGGUAAUGGAGUCGUUGGAGGUGUCAACAACAACAAUAACAACAACAACAACAUCAACAAUAAUAAUAAUAACAACAUGAAUAUGCCAAUGGCACCAUCAACAAGGAUACUUGCAAUGAACAUGAUUGGUGAUCUCAUGAGAAAAGUUGGGCUCGACAGGUGGGUCUGCAUGGAUUGUGGAAAAAUCAAAUGUUGUUGUCCUGGUGGUAAAAAAACUACAUCACUUGAAAUGACAGCUAAACACUCAUCGAGACAAUGUAUUGGUCGAGCAACAAAAUUGACAAAGUGCUGACAUAAAUAAAUAAUUAAAUAUGUACAUAAAUUGACAAAUACCAAGCACAUAUUAAAAUAAUUAUUACACAAGCCAAGAACGCGAAAUCAAGGCCCUGGAAAAUAAACUCAACACUUGUCGAAAUGCAUCUCGUGAGGAUCAAUCAAUGAGAGACUUGUACAGGUAAUAAAAUAAAAAAUUAAUUUAGUUUAAUAA